GUGAAACUGUUGACAUUGGUGUGGAGAGGCCAGAUGAUUCCUCCAGGACAGCCAUGGAGAGUAGGGGGGUCAGUCAGGAAUCAGAGGCAGGGAAAAGACACCCUAACCCCCUCUCUGUGACACCCACAGGGGCCAAGGGGAAGAAGGCUCUGAGUGCUAAAUCGCAGGUCAACAAAAAAGCUAAAGUCAAGAUGACAUCCGUUCAUGGCUCUGUCACUGGCUCCAAUGAUUUUAUUGGGUAUAAAAAAACAAGCAAGAGGACAGGUGGUUCAAAGGACAGGUGGUUCAGCACAUAAACUGACCAAAACCCCUCAAACCCCUGCAGACAAUGGUAGAGAAGCUGUUGCAGCAGGGAUCUCAGAUUUACAAACUCAUAGCUCUCCAUCUGUGGACUCUCCAGCCAGGACACGGUGUGCAUGGAAGGCUAUGGGCAAACCUGCCUCCAAUCCAGCAGUACUGAAGCGUUUUAACGGGGACAGAGCAGUCGAGCAUGGCAGGCAUGUGGAUGGAAAACUCAAUGGCCCCCUCCCACAUGAAGCUACCUCCGAGCCUUAAAAUAAAUAGUAUUGUCUCUACCAAGUCACAUCCAGGGUCUAGGAAAAGGAAGAGGAAGAUGGAAAUUUACAACUUUGUCCCCAAGAAGAAAACCAAAGUGUUGAAGAAAGACAGCCUAGCUGCGAAGGCGGAAAAGCAAGAAAGUGUCAGAAAGAAGGGAGUAGAUCUGACGCACAGAGAGAUUUGUGAAAUGCAAGAAAGCCAUGCACUGUUAGCCGAGCAGUGUGUAGACAAGGAAAAAGAUUUAACCAAAGGAAACAAAAUGGAGAAAGAGGACAACAGCAGUAAGCAGGAAACCAUUGAAUUGACUUUGGAAUCGCUAAAUCUGAAAGCCCAAGAUGAGCUGUUGUCUCCUCCUCUCUCAGGUAACAGUUUCCCUAGAGAUGAGUUAAACAUUUCGUCAUAAGUUAUGAAAUAAUACUUGUACAAUACA
rnacentral:lncRNA from 1 species